rnacentral:rRNA from 1 species
UGCAAGUCGAACGCUGAAGCUUGGUGCUUGCACUGGGUGGAUGAGUGGCGAACGGGUGAGUAAUACGUGAGUAACCUGCCCUUGACUCUGGGAUAAGCCUGGGAAACUGGGUCUAAUACUGGAUAUGACAUGUCACCGCAUGGUGGUGUGUGGAAAGGGUUUUACUGGUUUUGGAUGGGCUCACGGCCUAUCAGCUUGUUGGUGGGGUAAUGGCUCACCAAGGCGACGACGGGUAGCCGGCCUGAGAGGGUGACCGGCCACACUGGGACUGAGACACGGCCCAGACUCCUACGGGAGGCAGCAGUGGGGAAUAUUGCACAAUGGGCGGAAGCCUGAUGCAGCGACGCCGCGUGAGGGAUGACGGCCUUCGGGUUGUAAACCUCUUUCAGCACGGAAGAAGCGAAAGUGACGGUACGUGCAGAAGAAGCGCCGGCUAACUACGUGCCAGC